rnacentral:rRNA from 2 species
UUCGGGAUCAAUAUAUCGGUCGUGCCAUCGGUACGUACUGGUAUCAUUGGUUUCUCCUUUCUGACGAACCAUGAUGUCAUUAAUUUGGUGUUAUGGGAAGUUAGGACUGUCACUUUGAAAAAAUUAGAGUGUUUAAAGCAGGCAUUAGCUUGAAUACAUUAGCAUGGAAUAAUGAAAUAGGACGUUCGAACCUAUUUUGUUGGUUUCUAGGAUCAACGUAAUGAUUAAUAGGGAUAGUUGGGGGCAUCAGUAUUCAAUUGUCAGAGGUGAAAUUCUUAGAUUUAUUGAAGACUAACUACUGCGAAAGCAUUUGCCAAGGAUGUUUUCAUUAAUCAAGAACGAAAGUUAGGGGAUCGAAGACGAUCAGAUACCGUCGUAGUCUUAACCAUAAACUAUGCCGACUAGGGAUCGGAUGAUGUUAAUUUUUUAAUGACUCAUUCGGCGCCUUACGGGAAAC